CAACUUUUGGCAAAAUUGAUAUAGUUAGAGAAAUAGAAAGAAGAAUAGAAGUUGCUUCUGGGCCAUGUUAUAAAAAAUAAAUACGUAAACUUAUUUGCCUUUUGAAAGUAAAAGAUUGUGUGGUAUUUAUUUAAAGGCAUAUCAAUCCUUCACCCAGACUAAAUGAGGAAGAGAUGAAUUGAAAUGUUAAUGAAACAUAAAAUUGGGCAUUGGCAAUAUUGCCUGCAACCAUUGUAGAUGAACAAAUAAUGGAGCCAGUCUGUUUACAUUACUGGAAUGAGCACUGGGCAGGUGAUGCGUCCGGUUUCUAAACCUGGAAUCAAAUCUUUACUCUUUAGUUUUUGUUGGGUGAUUUCCUGACUUACUGGAUAAACCAGGUGCGUAUCCAAUUGUCUUUGUUUCUAUCUACAGAAGAAAUAAUGACAUUGGCUUAGGUAUGGCAGGGUUAAGCCCAACACUGUGUUGAAAAGUACUCCAGGAACCUGGGAUUCAGGAAGAGUUGGUCCUGUCUGUGGGGAGUAACAACAGUGCUCCCUUUAAAACUGCAGAGGAGAAUGCCUUUUGAAGGAAGCAUGUGUAAUUCUUAUCCUCCUCUCUAUGUGGCAGCCAUCUGUCUAGUUAUAUGAGUUUUUUUCCUAACUGGUUGCGGUCCUUGAGAACAAGACUCUUCCCUUAUGAAUCUCUCCUCCCUCUGCCUGGCACAGUACUCUGCACAUGAUAAUUGACAAUAGGCUCCCAUGGAAGUCUUCUCUGCAUUUCUGCAAAAAUUUAGGAAACAUUAGGUUUGACACCAUCAUCAUGUUUCACAAGGCAGCAAAAAUCCCAGCCGGCAAAGCUCCAAGUGUGAUGAAGUGGAACAGCAAGGACAGCACGGAAUGACUGAUCAUUUCCGAAUGUCGGCUAGCGAGAGUUUCCAAUGUGGGAGUUUUCCAUUGUUUUUGAAGCAGGAGAAAUAGGGACUGGCUGCUUUGGAAGAAACAUGCUGUGGUGAUGUCGGUAGGGUUUCCUCUUCUUUCUUUUCUACCUGUCCUUUCUGCUCUCAAGUGGUUCCUUGAAGAUAAAAUUAUUUUGUAAUACUUUCAUUUAUUACCAACAAAACUUUUUUAUAUUCAGUAAGUUGAAAUUGUAUAGAACAAUUGAUGUCUGAUUUAUUACUAUUACUGAUGUUCAGGGCACACUGUGGCCACAGGAGAGGUAGUGUCAAUUCUAUAGGAGAAUCAGGCAAAGCUUCCUAGGUGAUGUAACCUUUGAGCUGAGUCUUGACUUAUACACAAAGAUUAGUUGGAUAAAUGGGCAGCAUAGGAGGGAAUGCCCUUCUAGGGAGAAUUAACAUGUUAGAGGAACCCCUGCCUACCAGGCAUCUGGCUUAAUACAACAUAACCUGAAUGAUUCCAUCUUGAAGUGAGUAGCGAGACACUCACAAGGUGAAUACUUAUGGUCUGAAAAUAGCCACAUUCUAAGCUGACCAUCAAUUAUAAUUACAGAAUAUUUAUGGUCAUACAGAACAUCUCCCACCAAGUCUGCAGAAUAUCCUAAGAAUACAGCUCACUUUACUUAAGUAAAGUGUUAAAGAGUGUUACUGAGUUAAUUACUGUUAAUGGGUGGACUUAGGUUGAAGGAUUAGUAGUCAUCUAUGACACCAAUAGCCUCUACCUUUAAAGAGCACAUCUGCAUGUUCCAAGUUUAAAUCUAGCCUCUUGUAGUUUCUAGUAAGUAGAGUCACUAACAAAGGAUGGCGUGCUCCUCCUCCUGUUUUCUGAAGAUGCCCUACUCUGUAAUAGAGUAGUUUCCAAUAAACACAAUUCUUUUACUGUGCUCUGUGACUUGCCUUGAAUUCUUUUCUGCAUGAGAUCCAAGAACCUGCUCUUGGGAUCUGUAUUGGGACCCUUUCUUUGGGCAACAGAGUUAUGAAAGUAUCUGCUAUGUUCAGAAAACUGGAUGCAAUUUAGUAGAGG
ensembl:lncRNA